GAGAGUUUCUUCCUAAUUGAAUGCUGUUACUUGCAGACCGGAAGUGUCUCGUCAUUCUGAUGAGAGCAACCAGUCUGUGAACAACUGAAACGUUCUGUGUGCCUUUUUCCUCCUGUUUAACAGGGUCUCAAGCACUCAGGGGAUAAAAAUGUGCUGUGAAACAAUUACUGUGUUAUCCAAACACACAAAAACAUCAAUGGGGUGUCCCCAUCCAUCAGGACUGUGCAGGAGGUCAAAGAUGCUGGCUUUUCAACUUUGCGCCAAGAACAAUCCGGUUGGUUCUUUUCCUCUUUGGUCCGGAGGACACAACGUCCACAAUUUCCAAAAACAAGUUGAAAUGUGGACUUGUCAGACGACAGAACACUUUCCCACUUUGCAUCAGUCUAUCUUACAUGAGCUCGGGCCCAGCGAAGCCGACGGCGAUUCUGGGUGUUGUUGAUAAAUGACUUUCGCUUUGCAUUGUAGAGUUCUGCCUUGCACUUACAGAUGUAGCGACAAACUGUAGUUACUGACGGUGGUUUUCUGAAGUGUUCCUGAGCCCAUGUGGUGAUAUCCUUUACGCACUGAUUUCGGUUUUUGAUGCAGCACCGCCUGAGGGAUCGAAGGUCACGGGCAUUCAACCUUGUCGCUUACGUGCAGUGAUUUCUCCAGAUUCCCUGAACCUUUUGAUGAUAAUACGGACUGUAGAUGGUGAAAUCUCUAAAUUCCUUGCAAUAGCUUGUUGAGAAAUGUUGUUCUUAAACUGUUGGACCAUUUGCUCACGCAUUUAUUUCCAAAGUGGUGACCCUCGACCCAUCCUUGUUUGUGAAUGACUGAGCAUUUCAUGCAAGCUGCUUUUAUACCCAAUGAUGGCACCCACCUGUUCCCAAUUAGCCUGUU